rnacentral:rRNA from 1 species
GAUGAACGCUGGCGGCGUGCCUAAUACAUGCAAGUCGAGCGAACAGACGAGGAGCUUGCUCCUCUGACGUUAGCGGCGGACGGGUGAGUAACACGUGGAUAACCUACCUAUAAGACUGGGAUAACUUCGGGAAACCGGAGCUAAUACCGGAUAAUAUAUUGAACCGCAUGGUUCAAUAGUGAAAGACGGUUUUGCUGUCACUUAUAGAUGGAUCCGCGCCGCAUUAGCUAGUUGGUAAGGUAACGGCUUACCAAGGCAACGAUGCGUAGCCGACCUGAGAGGGUGGUCGGACACACUGGAAGUGAGACACGGUCCAGACUCCUACGGGAGGCCGCAGUAGGGAAUCUUACGGAAUGGGCGAAAGCCUGACGGAGCAACGCCGGGGGAGGGAUGAAGGUCUUCGGAUCGUAAAACUCUGUUAUUAGGGAAGAACAAAUGUGUAAGUAACUAUGCACGUCUUGACGGUACCUAAUCAGAAAGCCACGGCUAACUACGUG